ensembl:snRNA U4 U4 spliceosomal RNA
AGCUUUGCCCAGUGGUAGUAUUAUAGCCAAUGAGGUUUGUCCGAGAUGUGAUUAUUGCUAAAUGAAAAGAAUAUUAUCCAUCAUUACCUAUAUUAACCUCCAAAAACAAAUUUUAAUUGCGCCUGGGUUUAUGCAUAUUAUAAAAUG